rnacentral:rRNA from 1 species
UCCGUAGGGUGCGAGCGUUGUCCGGAAUUAUUGGGCGUAAAGAGCGUGUAGGCGGCCAGGUAGGUCUGGUGUGAAAACUCGAGGCUUAACCUCGAGAUGUCAUCGGAAACCAUCUGGCUAGAGUCCGGAAGAGGAGAGUGGAAUUCCUGGUGUAGCGGUGAAAUGCGCAGAUAUCAGGAAGAACACCAAUGGCGAAAGCAGCUCUCUGGGACGGUACUGACGCUGAGACGCGAAAGCGUGGGGAGCGAACAGG